rnacentral:rRNA from 1 species
UUUGUUGGGGUGACAAUGGAAUUUAAUAAACUUCUUUUUUAUAAUCAUUGAUUUAUGAAUAAAUGAUCCUAAUUUUUAGAUUAAAAGAAUAAAUUACCUUAGGGAUAACAGCGUAAUUUUUUUGGAGAGUUCUUAUCGAUAAAAGAGAUUGCGACCUCGAUGUUGGAUUAAAGUUUAAUAUUGGCGAAGAAGCUAGUAUAUUAAGACUGUUCGAC